GCUUUGCUGACGAGUGGCGGACGGGUGAGUAAUGUCUGGGAAACUGCCUGAUGGAGGGGGAUAACUACUGGAAACGGUGGCUAAUACCGCAUAACGUCGCAAGACCAAAGAGGGGGACCUUCGGGCCUCUUGCCAUCAGAUGUGCCCAGAUGGGAUUAGCUUGUUGGUGAGGUAACGGCUCACCAAGGCGACGAUCCCUAGCUGGUCUGAGAGGAUGACCAGCCACACUGGAACUGAGACACGGUCCAGACUCCUACGGGAGGCAGCAGUGGGGAAUAUUGCACAAUGGGCGCAAGCCUGAUGCAGCCAUGCCGCGUGUAUGAAGAAGGCCUUCGGGUUGUAAAGUACUUUCAGCGGGGAGGAAGGUGUUGUGGUUAAUAACCGCAGCAAUUGACGUUACCCGCAGAAGAAGCACCGGCUAACUCCGUGCCAGCAGCCGCGGUAAUACGGAGGGUGCAAGCGUUAAUCGGAAUUACUGGGCGUAAAGCGCACGCAGGCGGUCUGUCAAGUCGGAUGUGAAAUCCCCGGGCUCAACCUGGGAACUGCAUUCGAAACUGGCAGGCUUGAG
rnacentral:rRNA from 1 species